CCUACGGGUGGCUGCAGUGAGGAAUAUUGGUCAAUGGACGAGAGUCUGAACCAGCCAAGUAGCGUGAAGGAUGACUGCCCUAUGGGUUGUAAACUUCUUUUAUAAAGGGAUAAAACGAUGCACGUGUGCCUGUCUGCAUGUACUUUAUGAAUAAGGAUCGGCUAACUCCGUGCCAGCAGCCGCGGUAAUACGGAGGAUCCGAUCGUUAUCCGGAUUUAUUGGGUUUAAAGGGAGCGUAGAUGGGGUGUUAAGUCAGUUGUGAAAGUUUGCGGGUCAACCGUAGAAUUGCAAUUGAUACUGGCAGUUGUGAGUACAGAUGAGGUAGGCGGAAUUCGUGGUGUAGCGGUGAAAUGCAUAGAUAUCACGAAGAACCCCGAUUGCGAAGGCAGCUUACCAAGCUGUGACUGACAUUGAUGCUCGAAAGUGUGGGUAUCAAACAGGAUUAGAUACCCGUGUAGUC
rnacentral:rRNA from 1 species